GCAACUUUUAUUUAACAAUUUUCCUUUUUUCCUACCAGUACAAAAGUACAUGCAGCAAUCGACUGGUUCAACAUAUAAAUGUGAUGCAAGUUCAAGACGGUUUAUCCGGUUGAAGGUGGAGAUUAUGCUGGAUAUUAUGACGCUACAACUGUUAAUUGACAAACACAGAUGUGGUCUGGAAACUACUCAACAAAACAAAAAUAUCGACAAAUCAUGAGAGGGAUUCCGGAUAUGGAGAGUGGGCCCAGUUAUUUUCGACUGAAGGGUACGACUGUCGCUCGAGACGUCCGUAUUUUACGGAUGUGUCAAAUACUCAAAUCGUCCGGCUGGAAUGUGAGCGUUGAAUCAAAUGCUUGGUGUUGAAUGAGUGCCAAGCUCUUUCAAUAAUUAAAAGAGGCGGAAGAUACCAAGGAGACAUUCAAAACUUAAAAACCUAAAUAAACUGACAACGUUAUGGCAAGAAUCAAAAGAAAAAAAAAGAAGACCACAAAAAACUACAUGGGAAACUAAAGACUGAGCAACACGAACCCACCAAAAACUGGAGUUGAACUCGAAAUAGUAAGCAGAUACAGCUACACUAGUGGCACGCGACGUGUUUUGUUGCUCAUUUAAGUACAUAAUGAUGUCAAAAUCGAGUAAUAGUACGUGAAUGUUGUUAUGACAAUCGGAACAUAUUCGUGCUCAUCUGUGACACAAAUAUCCUGGAUCGGGCUAUCUAUUUGCAAAGGGAGGACUUCAACUUUAAACAUUUAAACCCUCUGUUCAAUAGCUUGCUUGCGUUGUAGGCAACAACCCUCUUUCAAGGAAAUCGUAAUAGGAAACCCAAACUAUGGAAUAUCGUACCCACUGGAGGAUAUGGGUUUGAUAUUGAAAAAGCAAUAUAACACGAAUAAUGUUCUCUACAUAUGAAAGUUUAAUUAAAAUUUACUUAAGAUCAA